AACAUUUCAUUUUCACCUCAAAUGCUACUUAAAACCUGGUUUCCAUCUUUCCCACGGGAGCCUGAAGGCAGCGCAGGCAGCCAUUGGUCAGCCCUGGCUGUCAAUCACAGCUCCAUCUCCCUCCCACGUGGUGACGUUUCCGUACCAAAGUAACCAGGCCAGUCCAUUACGCACACAAAAGACACAACAAAAGCCCGUGUUGGGAAAAAUGAGAUCCGUCAGCACCCAAAGGACACAACAAUAAGUUCCCAUCUGGCAGCGUCACACAUGGACCAGAGCCUGGGACGACGACAAUCAUUUAUUUAACUUAAAAAAGACAACAAACUGAAAAACAUCUUUCUCUCUUCAGCAGGCAGUUUUCCACCAAGCUGCGUUUUGCUCAGCUCUGAUCCAGGUGGUUUGAUUUUCUCCUGUGGUGUCUGUGUGGAGCGUGCCACACACCCACUCCACAACAACGACGGCUUUUGCUUGCAUCUUCCAGUGUUUCUUCUGUCAGCAAGUCCAGCAGAGCUGCAACUCUUCCAGUGCCAGCCCUGACACCAGCGAGGAGCCCUGCCCCACUGACAUGGUGAAGAUGACCAAGUCAAAGACCUUCCAGGCUUACCUGCCGAGCUGCCAUCGCACCUACAGCUGCAUCCACUGCCGGGCACACCUGGCCAACCACGACGAGCUCAUCUCAAAGUCAUUUCAAGGCAGUCAAGGAAGAGCCUACCUGUUUAAUUCAGUGUAAGUAUGAGACCCACACCUACAGUUUAUUUCUCCAGAAUGGAAAACUCUGCUUUGUUGCUCUUUCUGUGCAUUUAUUCAGGUUCAGCCAUUGUUAUUUACAAGUGAUCCGGGGCUUGUAAAUAAAAGUUACGUGGACUCACAAGCAGCUACUUUGUUGGACGGAGUCAUAAACCGUGUUCACACUGGGUGUGCUUGUUUGAGUUUAAACCAGAGAUCAGAAGUCCCUCCUUUACCUUCACCUACUGCUUUGCGUUCACCCUUGUUUGCUGUUGUUCUCUGUGCAGCUGUUUACUGUUGCUGACACAGUGACUGCACACCUAUGUCAAAAUUCUGUUUUGAUGCACAUGCACAAAAUUUUAACAAUGUACAGGCAGGUGGAGCCGCAGGUAUCUUUACUAGCCACACAAAAAUGAAACCAAGGGAUACACUUGUAAAAUUCACAUCUAUCACUACAGAUUUUACUCCCAAUUAUCAUGUUUAAGUAUCUGUUUCAACAAACUACACUACAUUGGAUUAACGCUACACAAUCUUUGUCCAAAAUCCCCAUAUAUACACCCAUGUAG